rnacentral:miRNA from 1 species
UGUGAGUGUGUGUGUGUGUGUGUGUGUGUGUGUGUCGCCUCUAAGCCCGUGUAGACACACUCUGAC